CUGCCUAGUGACACCUCAAUCGCAACUCCAAAUAUGCAUCUGCUCCGUGUUCAUUUCUCCAUCUUAACCUCCCUCUUCUGAAUUUCGAUCUCCCUCUCUCUCUCUCAAAAUUUUCUCUCUAUAUUCGCUACCUCUCUCUCUCUACAAAUUAAUGGCAGAGCAGAGACUUUGAUCAGACCCAUUUGUCUCAGAUCUGAGGUCAGGUGCCUUGUUACCAUUUGUUCUCCUUCCCUUCCCUUCGCUUCCCAUUGGAGCGUAGUUCCAGAUCCAGGUUCCUGCAUUUUCAUUUUAAGUCUCUUGAUGGUCUUGAUGAAGAGAGAGGGGGAGGAGUGAUUCUCUGUGGACGUUUUAGAGAGAGGGAGACUACUUUGGUUGGGGAUUUUAGGUUGAGAGUGAGAGAGGAUAAUGCUGAUAAAGUUCGAGACCAAGAGCAACAGGGUGAAGGGGUUGAGUUUCCAUGGAAAACGGCCAUGGAUCUUGGCUAGCCUUCACACGGGUGUUAUUCAGCUAUGGGACUACCGUAUGGGCACUCUCAUUGAUCGAUUCGAGGAGCAUGAUGGCCCUGUUCGAGGUGUCCACUUCCACAAUUCUCAGCCAUUGUUUGUUUCUGGAGGAGAUGAUUACAAAAUCAAAGUCUGGAAUUAUAAGCUACGCCGAUGCCUCUUCACCCUUCUUGGGCACCUUGAUUACAUCCGUACAGUUAACUUCCACCAUGAGUACCCAUGGAUUGUUAGUGCCAGUGAUGAUCAAACCAUAAGAAUAUGGAACUGGCAGUCAAGAACCUGUAUUUCUGUGCUAACGGGCCACAACCACUAUGUGAUGUGUGCUUCUUUCCAUCCUAAGGAGGACUUGGUGGCGUCAGCCUCCUUGGAUCAGACAGUUAGGGUGUGGGACAUUGGUGCUCUUAGGAAGAAGACUGUUUCACCAGCUGAUGACAUUUUGAGGCUCACCCAAAUGAAUACUGAUCUAUUUGGAGGUGGUGAUGCUGUUGUGAAAUAUGUGUUGGAGGGUCACGAUCGUGGAGUAAACUGGGCAGCAUUUCACCCCACAUUGCCCCUGAUUGUUUCAGGAGCUGAUGAUCGACAAGUUAAGCUUUGGCGAAUGAAUGACACCAAGGCCUGGGAAGUGGACACCUUGAAGGGACACGCGAAUAAUGUGUCUUGUGUUAUGUUUGUUGCAAAGCACGACAUCAUUGUAUCGAAUUCGGAAGACAAAAAUAUCCGUGUUUGGGAUGCAUCAAGACGGGUAGUUUUAAUGACUUUCCGUAGAGAGCAUGAUCGUUUCUGGGUUCUUGCUGCACAUCCCUCUAUGAAUCUUUUGGCAGCUGGUCAUGAUAGUGGCAUGCUUGUCUUUAAGCUAGAGAGAGAACGACCUGCCUUUGCAUAUAGCAGUGACUCCUUGUACUAUGUGAAAGACCGAUUUUUACGCUGCUUUAAUCCUACCUCUCAAAAAGAUGACCAACUCAUGACUAUCAAAAGAUCGGGCAAUUUUAACUUGAAUCAAGCACCAAGAUCUCUCUCUUACAGCCCCACUGAGAAUAUAGUCUUGCUCUGUUCAGAUGUAGACGGUGGCUCAUAUGAGCUCUUUACUGUCCCCAAAGAAAUUAUGGGAAAGAAUGAUCCUCCCCCAGAAUCAAAAAGAGGGUCUGGUGCAUUUGCCAUCUUUGUGGCACGUAACCGCUUUGCUGUUCUCGACAAGGUGAACAACCAAAUAGUGGUUAAGAACCUGAGAAAUGAAGUGGUAAAGAAAAACAGCCUUCCGGUUGCUGUUGAUACUAUAUUUCCAGCUGCAACUGGCAAUGUGCUAUGCAGAGCAGAGGACAAGGUGUUCUUAUUUGAUCUACAACAGAGGACUACUCUAGGAAAUCUUCACAUCCCUUCAGUAAAGUAUGUUUCCUGGUCAAAUGAGAUGGAAUAUGUUGCAUUGCUUAGCAAACAUACAAUUACUAUUGCGAGUAGGAGCCUUGUGCAUCAAUGUAGUUGUCAUGAAACUAUUCGCAUUAAGAGUGGUGCUUGGGAUGACAAUGGUGUGUUCAUAUACACGACCCUGAGUCACAUCAAGUAUUGCCUUCCUAAUGGAGACAAUGGCAUUAUCCGAACCCUUGAUGAGCCGGUCUAUGUUGUAAGGGUUUUUGGUAACUCGGUUCUUUGCAUGAGCCGAGAUGGGAGUUGCACCACAUUGGGAAUCGAUUCCACAGAGUAUCUUUUCAAGCUAUCUCUGAUUAAAAAGAGAUAUGAUCAAGUCAUGAGCAUGAUUAAGAACUCACAGCUUUGUGGGCAGGCAAUGAUUGGGUACCUUCACCAGAAAGGCUUCCCUGAAGUAGCCCUACACUUUGUCAAGGACGAGAGGACCCGAUUCAACCUAGCCCUGGAAAGCGGUAACAUCCAGGUUGCUGUUGCGUCAGCCAAGGAGAUCGAUGAUAAAGAUCACUGGUACAAGUUGGGUGUCGAAGCCCUUCGACAGGGGAAUGCUUGCAUCGUUGAAUAUGCAUACCAGAGGACUAAAAAUUUUGACAGGCUCUCUUUUCUCUAUCUAGUAGCAGGCAACAUGGACAAGCUAUCUAAGAUGAUGAGGAUUGCCGAAUUAAAAAGUGAUGUUAUGGGUCAGUUUCAUAAUGCUCUCUAUCUAGGUGAUAUUCAGGAACGAGUCAAGAUCUUGGAAAACUCGGGCCAUCUCCCUCUGGCUUAUGUUACUGCUUACAUUCAUGGGCUCACCGAAGUUGCAGAAAGGCUAGCAGCUGAAUUGGGAGGCAAUGUCCCUUCCAUCCCAUCUAGUAUUAAAUCGUCACUUCUUAUUCCUCCUGCACCCAUUAUGUGCGGUGGAGAUUGGCCGUUACUGAGGGUCACAAUGGGCAUUUUUGAAGGUGGGUUAGAGAACAGGGGCAAAACGGCUCAUGAAGGAGAGGAGGAAGCUGCUGAUGCAAACUGGGGUGAGGACUUGGAGAUAAUAGAAAUGGAGGGGCCGAAUGGGGACCUAGAAAUUAUUGGAGAUGAGGAAGUGAUAGAAGAUGGCGAUGGUGAAGAAGGGGGGUGGGAUCUUGAGGAUCUUGAACUUCCUCCUGAGCUUGCUGCUGCUGCAAAUAUUGCAGGAAUAAGGCUUUCGAAUUCAUCCUUUGUGGCACCAACACCGGGCAUGCCUGUGAGUCAAAUUUGGACUCAAAAAUCCUCUCUUGCUGGUGAGCACGCAGCUGCUGGAAAUUUUGAUACAGCUAUGCGUUUACUUAGCCGGCAAUUGGGCAUUCGAAACUUUGCUCCUUUGAAACCAUUGUUCAUGGAUCUCUACUUGGGGAGCCAUGCUUAUCUUCGUGGAUUCCCAUCUGCCCCACUUGUGCCUUUAGCUGUAGAGAGAGGUUGGAAUGAACAGGGUAGCGCUAAUGUGAGAGGGCCUCCUGCCAUGGUAUCAAAGCUGUCUUUUCUAGAAGAGAGGCUUAAGCUUGCAUAUAAGGCCACUACCGAGGGCAAGUUUGCUGAGGCCUUGAAGCUCUUUCUUAACAUUUUGCACUUGAUUCCAAUCAUAGUGGUUGAUUCGAGAAGAGAGGUUGAUGAGGUGAAAGAGUUGGUAGUCAUUGCAAAAGAGUAUGUGUUGGCCCUUCAAAUGGAGGUCAAGAGGAAGGAGCUGAAGGAUGACCCUGUUCGGCAGCAAGAGCUUGCUGCUUACUUCACUCAUUGUAAUCUUCAAAAGGUCCACUUGCGGCUUGCACUGAUGAAUGCUAUGGGUGUUUGCUUCAAGGGCAACAAUUAUAAUACAGCUGCAAAUUUCGCAAGGAGGCUUUUGGAGACGGAUCCGCCCUCUAACCAGGCCUCAAAGGCUCGUCAAGUCCUUCAAAUCUGUGAGAGAAACCCUAAAGAUGCAAGUCAGCUCAAUUAUGACUUCCGAAACCCAUUUAUUCUCUGUGGAUUGACUUUUGUUCCCAUAUAUCAUGGACAGAAGAGUGUCUUGUGCCCUUACUGCACAGCGAAAUUUGUGCCUGGCAUUGAAGGGCAGAUUUGCACGGUGUGCAACCUUGCUGUUAUUGGGUUGGAUGCUUCAGGAAUCGGGCUUGGGCUCGUUCAAUUAGGUGUUGUUCAUGAUUGUACCACUACAUCCCAAGUUCCGAUUCCCACUGCAGAACUACCCAAUGGAAUUGGGUGAUUUUUGGAGGGCUUUUCCUCACGAGUUUUGCGGUUACCACUACCUUUACUCGGCAUACACAGCUUGACUGGAGAUUGAAAGAGGUAUGCCUUUCACCUUGGCUUCUAUCGCAAAAAUGAUGACUUCACAAAAUAUACCGGAUCUCUUUGGUGAGAAUGUUACUUUUGAUCAAACACCACGUGUUAGAUUUUAUUUUUUGACUGUUUUUAUUCAUUGGCUUGCAUCACCUUUUAAAGUUUGCAAUACACUCUGACGUAAUUUUUAUUUUUUAGUACUUAACUUUUUGUAAAGAUAGCUUUUUUGCCAGAUUCUUGGACAAGAGUUUUCGAAUUCUUCAGACUUCCCUGAAGUUGCUUGAGGUCAUACACAGCUCUCUCUAGGUUUCCCUAGACGUCUCGAUGAAAAAUGAUCAAGAUUUAAUUUUGGAGAAGAUGUAGUUUCCUUAAUUUUUUAAUUUUUGGAAGAUGUAUUUUCCUUU